CUGCCAUUAUUAGAUACCACCGGCACCGUUCACUGUUCACUCGCCAACGUGGUAUAGUCGUGACGUCGCGAUUAAUGUGUUAUGUACCAUAAAAAAAAAAAAAUGCUUAUUUUGCAUAGUCGCAUAACUAUGUGUUGUACGAUUGCCACGGUGAUUAUAAAUUGUGAAUUAUUAUGAUGAACAUAGUAUUAAUAUGAUAAUAGGUAAUCGUUUAGAAUUUAAACUAACAACUUGUGUGAAUAGAUUAAUUUGCGUCGGCAUGAUCAUCAAACUCCAGCGAGUACCUAUCUGAUUAUCUCUGUUAUUACUACUACUUAUUUUUGUUUUGGUAUCUAUCGCAAACUGAGAUGGGAACCGUGUUAGCAUUACUUCCAAGAAAAUUACUAGGAAUUACAUUAUGUAUUAUAUAUCAUUGAUUAAGGAUACUUGAUAAAUUAUCAUAAUAUACCUAUUCGUUCGGUAUACUUCCGUCAGAUAUUUUGCAAAGACGCAUAAACCUUGGAUUAGAUGAACACAAUUUAAUGCACUGCUCACCUAUUCCAUGAAAAGCCAUGCCGAAUAGGCCUUGAAGAGUACCCGCGCUGCCACUAGGCGCUACUUCGGCCGCGUACGAAAUGCCAGCCACAAAAGCCAAGGCAAACGUUAUACCAUUAAUCAGCUCUACUGGCAAUACCCAAAGUGGAUCUUUAAUAAUUGAAUACAGGAAAAAUUUUAUCGAAAACAUUGCAAAUGCUACUGAAAAAGCUGUCAUAUGUCCAAUGCGUUUCAAUCAAUAAAAACACCGUACUCACAUAACCCUAUGACCUAUAGGCUAUAGUGUAAAAAUUAUGUAUUGGUGUUAAAAUACAUGAUUCAAAUUAGAAAUUGUUUAUUUAAAACCCCUUUAGAAAUUAAGUACAUGCGAUGAUAUCGUUUUGCUACAACACAUAAACAAAACUUAUUCAUGCAAAAUCGAUUUUUUGUAGAGAAAUCAUAGAGUAAGAUAAUAUAUUACAAAAAUUAUGGUGAUCGAGGAGGAAUAAUAUUUUGAAGAUUUAUCAUAAAUGGGUUAGAAACUAGAACAAAAUUACUUUGUUAUUCAUUUAAGAGGGCGUCACACCCGCAUGUGUUGUCUCUGUCUUACAAGCACGUAACAUACCAAAUUUACUUUCAGUAGAUC